UAGGGAAUCUUCCGCAAUGGACGAAAGUCUGACGGAGCAACGCCGCGUGAGCGAAGAAGGCCUUCGGGUCGUAAAGCUCUGUUGUCAGGGAAGAACAAGUAUCGGAGUAACUGCCGGUACCUUGACGGUACCUGACGAGAAAGCCACGGCUAACUACGUG
rnacentral:rRNA from 1 species